UGCAAAGCAAAAGUCAGAUCAGAAGCGAAACGGAAACUUUUGAACAAGAACAGUUUUGCUUUUGAACUCUCGUUUCAUUGAGGUAAUACUAAGAGAGAAGUUUGGCGUGCUGUUUGGAUGUUGAGGAAGAAACGCGUCAAUCUUGUCACACCAAUUGAAGAUCAGAUAUUAGAUAGGUAAAAUUAAUAUGUGUAUGUUGCUCUCAGAUACACACACGUGUAUCUAUAUCUAUAUUAAAUUAAAAGCAUGAAAGUCCUUAGAAAUGUUUAUUGAACUUUUUACCAUUUGGUAAAACACUCUACAAUAGACAAAACUGUCAAUCACUAUUUUUCCUCAAAUUCUUAUUUAGUAAAAUUUAUAUAGUCUACAAGGAGAAUUAAUGUAGACUCCUAAAACCUGUGGAGAAGGGGAAUUAGAAAAAGGACUGCUAAAAUAUAUAGAAUGAAAAGUUAAUAUUUAGUACAAAACCUGCUUCUUUUUAUUUAUUAUUAAUAACGUGAUAAACACACUCAAAGCACAUAUAUAUCCAUACAUACAUAUAUAUAUAUAUAUAUAUGGCUGAAAUAUACAAAACUUAAUACAGUGAUUUUACGCAUAUACAAAAACUAUACAUUUGUUGGCUAUUUUGUAAACUAGAUCACCCAAGGCAUUGGACUGGAAUUAUUCCCUAUAUUUGUUAUGUAUACAAGUUCCACGGAUUUGGUAAGUGAUACAAGCAGUCUUUAUGCUCCGAAAGAAAUCAAAUUUGUUGAAUAGAAUUAACCACCUCAUCUAAAAGUUAAGAUGUUAGAGAUAAACACUUAAAUUUAUUUGUCUACAACACACCCUCCCUCUCAUGCCAGCCUAGACUUGAAGACAAUACCUUUAUUUGCUCUAAUACCAUGCUAAAUACUGGUGAACACCUCAGUGAAAAAGCUUAAACUGUUUAGAGAGGAAAAACUUCCACUUAUUUAUUUUGGCCUACCAACAAAAUUCACAAAAUAUAGGAAAUUACAAUGACCACGCUGUUUAAAUACAAAAGCAAUAUUAAAUUGUUUAUUGCAAGUUCACACACAUGUAAGGGGUAAUUGCAGGCUGAGCUGAAGAAUUAAUCGUGUACACCCCUUAUAUGCUUAUUGGAUUUUCACUUGCAGAGACUUUACCUGAUUAUUUUUGAAUUCAUUUCUCCGCAUUCUUUUAAUUCUCUUGCGGCGACCCUUUCCUGCAUAAGGGAUGCAGUUCACACAUGUCAGAUGGUACACAACAGUCACCUUAUCACUAACCUUAUGUUCUUCUCUUUAAGCAGGCACAGGCUGCCCAGGAAAGCAUGACUAAUUCCAAAAACUUGAAGCAGAGUAAAUUUCAUGAAAAACAACAGAUGUAUGGAACCCAACAAAAUGGAGCCGCAAGAAUAACUUUGGACCUGUUCACGUAAUUCUGACAUUUCAG
rnacentral:lncRNA from 1 species